ACAGUCACAGCCAGGACCGGAGCAGCACGCAGCGAACCGGUACCAGCUUCUCCAGUCCGACUGGUGAACAGAUCCAGAGAUCCACGAGGACCCAGAGGAGGAGGCGACGAGUGAUCAUCAUAGGAGACUCCAUCCUGAGAGGUACGGAAGGACCCAUCUGUCGCCAGGACCCCUCGGCACGAGAGUGACCGGACGAGGAAGACGGCAGGAGAACUGCAUCAGAGAGACCAACUGGCGGCUUCGGCAGUGGUGUCUCGAGGCAGGCUUCGGCUUCCUGCACAAUGACCCGCACAUCACGAUGAGGGACAUGCUCAGCUGGGAUGGGCUUCACCUGUCCCCCAAAGGUAAGCGUGUGUUUUCUACUAGGUUGGCGGAUCUCCUCCAGCGGGCUUUAAACUAGGCUUGUCGGGGGGAGGGGAGUACGAGGGCAGGGGAAGCUGUGGGCCACCAAACCAUGUGGCACCCACAAGGACAGCCCAGCCUGAAGAAGGAGAACAUUGGGAACCUGAAAGCCAUGGGGAGGCCAGCACUACAGAACAGGUAAGAAACAAGAAGGUAAGGAACAAUGGGCCCCUUGGGACUCGGAGCGGGGGGGCAGCAAAGGCACCAGUCACAGGGCUCAAGUGCCUAUAUACUAAUGCUAGGAGCA